GUUUGGAUUCAUCCCCGAUGAUGUCGCUCUGACGUCAGCAACCAAUCAGAGCACAGAUGGGACAGAUGGCGAAAACAAAUUGAUCCUUUUAUUCAAUCUUACCUCCAGAAAGACUGAAGUCUUCAUGGAGCUAGAAGCAAGCAGAUUGAUGACUGACAGGCAGUCUGGAAGCUCCUUCAGGUACAGUCCUGCUCCUUCAGGUCCAGUUUGGAUCACGCUGUUCUGAAAUUCCUGUCGAACCCCACCAAAAUGAUCUCAGUCCGCUCCAGCUGCAGUUGUCUCCUCUGAAGGACUUUAUCAUUUGCUGUGAUCACUCAGUUUCUCCCAACCCGAGCAUGUGAGUCCUGUGAUUCCUCUUUGAUACAAAAAGCUCCUUGUCUUCAGAGGAGUGGAGGGACGGAGGGUAAAGAUCAGGAGUGGAGAGGGAGACGUCUGUUCAUCUCCCAGGCACAUACUGCAGCUAUUAGAUUUAAAGAGGCGUGACUGCUUCUUAAUUAGGAUGAUUCGCACAGCUGUGUAGAUAUUUAAAAAAAGAACAUGCUAUUGCAGUGGUCUUGUAAAGUUGAAAGCUGGGUGUGUUGGAGCUAACACAGAAAUGUGUCAACAUGAAGUUGUGUUUUUCUUCCCCUUUUAUUACAUUAAUUAGGCUUAAAAAGCACAAUAUGAUAGAGUCAGAGAAAUAUUUCAGCUUGACUCUAGUGAUUAGAAGCUUUGUAACAAAAUCUCCCUUCUCCCUGCAACCAGCUGACAAAGUUCAAAGCUGGGUUUUCAGUCGUUUGUUUUGAUCUUAUUAAAUGUGUCAGGGUUUCGGAAGAUUUGGAUCCAGCAGGAAAGCAGAAUGACAGGAGGCGCUCGAAACAAACUAGGUUUAGUUUUAACAACAUCAAAAAAAAAAAAGGUUACGCAACUAAGGAAUCACAAGGUGAACCGGAAGUGGCUU